CGAGCUUUCAUCCUUUUUGCUCUUUUGAUGACUUAAGAAUGCAUUACUCAAGGUAAGAGUGGAAGUGUUGUGAGCAACCCCUUCUUAUCAAAUUUUCCUCAAUUUGUAUGUCUAUAUUGAAAAUAAGAAAAAUAAUUUACUUUCAAACUAUCUCUUCUAUGCACUACAACACACAGGCCAUCACCUCCAUAUCACCACCCCACCCUAUCUCAUAGUGUUCACCUAAAUUAAGAGAAAGUAAGAAAUAUUUUCCUUUGAACCAAACACACCCUAAGUAUAUGUUUUGUUAAUGAUCUUGGUGUCUAGGCAAGUUUUUGCGCACUUCAAUUAAUUCUACGAGAUACGUCACCUUCCACCAACAACAAGUAUCAAGUAAUAUCUUGUCUUGGUUAGGAUUGAAUUAUGAUGCUCUCAUAGUUAUCAUCC
rnacentral:lncRNA from 1 species